GAUGGUACGAAGUUGGUCCGCCGCAAGGCGAGUACUGAGUUCGGCUGUCUUUCCUCCUGAAGUUCUGGUGCAUCUUCGGGUGCAUCAGGAAUUCGGGGCAGUUACCUUGAAAAAAUUAGAGUGCUCAAAGCAGGCCUGUGCUUGAAUAUAUUAGCAUGGAAUAACGGAAUAGGACUUUGGUCUUAUUUUGUUGGUUUCUAGGACCGAAGUA
rnacentral:rRNA from 1 species